rnacentral:misc_RNA from 1 species
AACUUUUAGCAACGGAUCACGCAUCGAUGAAGAACGCAGCGAAAUGCGAUAAGUAAUGUGAAUUGCAGAAUUCAGUGAAUCAUCGAAUCUUUGAACGCAACUUGCACUCCAUGGUAUUCCAAGGAGUAUACCUGUUUGAGUGUCAUGGAAUUUUCAAUCCGUAAAAAUAUUGUUUUAUUUUUAUGGACUUGGAUUUGGAGGUCGUGCCGGCUUUUUUAAAAGAGUAUGGCUCCUCUUAAAUAUAUUAGCGCAAAACUUACCUAUCGCUCAUUGGUGUGAUAAUUAUCUAUGCCAUAAGCGGGUGUAAAGUGUAAAUGUGCUUCUAAUCAUCCUUUUUUAUAAGGAUAAUUAUAUUUUAAUAUCUGACCUCAAAUCAGGUAGGACUACCCGCUGAACUUAAGCAUAUCAAUAAGCGGAGGCU